GAUGAACGCUAGCGAUAGGCUUAACACAUGCAAGUCGAGGGGCAUCGAGGGUAGCAAUACCUGUCGGCGACCGGCGCACGGGUGAGUAACGCGUAUGUAACCUGCCCGCAACAGAGGGAUAACCCGGCGAAAGUCGGACUAAUACCUCAUAAAACAGGGGUUCCGCAUGGGGCUAUUUGUUAAAGAUUUAUUGGUUGCGGAUGGGCAUGCGUACCAUUAGGUAGUUGGUGAGGUAACGGCUCACCAAGCCAUCGAUGGUUAGGGGUUCUGAGAGGAAGGUCCCCCACACUGGUACUGAGACACGGACCAGACUCCUACGGGAGGCAGCAGUGAGGAAUAUUGGUCAAUGGGCGAGAGCCUGAACCAGCCAAGUCGCGUGAAGGAUGACUGCCCUAUGGGUUGUAAACUUCUUUUACAGGGGAAUAAAAUGAGAUACGUGUAU
rnacentral:rRNA from 1 species